rnacentral:lncRNA from 1 species
CCAUCUUGCACUCCUGGCCUCGUGAUCCACCCACCUCGGCCUCCCAAAGUGCUGGGAUUACAGGCAUGAGCCACUGCACCCAGGCUAGAAUACGAUUUAAGAUGUAAUAGGAAAGGAUGUUGUAACGCAGGUCUCAAAUGUUUGGAAGGGCAUUGUGAUUGCUAGACUUGCAGAUGCAGAUGAACUGCGAUUCUUUAUUUACAUUAAUCUACAAGGGUAUUAAUCAGUGGCUGUAAGGAUAUUUCUGCUCUUUUAGAGGAGGAUAUUAUCGCUGAACAGUAAUGGAGAGUGUUGAUGGACCAUUAUGGUAAAGAAUCGAGGAUAUCUGAGAGGCAGGGAAAUGGGUGGUGCAUGAGGGAAAUUUAAGACAGAAAGGUCAGUGGUCUACUUGGCUGGCAGAAGUGCACGAUGAGAGUCAAGAAUGUAACAGAUCAGUGAAGCAUCAAAAAAAUCUGACAAUGAGCUUUUGGAUCUCAAUAGUGGGGAACUGAGAUUCAAGACAACUCCAGCACCUUGGAGGAACUGGCCAGUAUAUCAAGAAAAGCCUCUGGCAUGGUCAAUAAGGAGCCAGCAUAAAACCAAACAUUACAAGACACACAAAGAAGCAAAGAAAUGUGACUCACAUUCAAGAAAGGAUGCAAGCCCAGAUAUUUCCUAGAUAUUGGAAACAUCUGACAAGGACUUCAAAAUAACUAUGGCAAUUAUGUUAAAUAAAGUAUGUAAAAACACAGGAGAAAAUGGGAACUUUUAGUACAUAUAUAAUCAUGAUAAAAAAAAACCCAAAUGCAAAUGUUAGAAAUAAAGAAUGAGCCAUCAGAAAUAAAACAUUCAUCAGACGGGCUUACAUUUGACAAUAUCAAGUAAUAGCCAUUAUUUAUGAUGAUAUAAUACAAAAUAUAUUAUUAUAGUCACAAAAAAGGGACAAGCAAAAAGACCUAGUGCCUGAGAAUUUUCAAAAAUUGAAGAAAGAUAUCAAACCAUAGAUUUUGGAAGCUUAGCAAACCUCAGUGAGGAUACAUUAGCAAUAGCAACAACAAAACACAAAAAUCUAUCAGAGUGAAGAAGUAAAAAAACAAAAUAGGAGAAUGCUACCAACUUUCUUGGGUUAUUAUUUGACUACCCAGCUUUUAAUAUUCUUAAGUUUUAAUUUUAUGUCUUGUAAACAUUAAAUACUUAAGUUUCUUUUUCCAAAUCAGAAACUACAGGUUGGCAAACUACCCUAAACCUGGCCUGCCUGCAAUUUCUUAUGUGUGUGAGCAUGAAAUGGUCUUCACAUUUUUAAAUGGGUGAAAAUAUCAAAAGAAGAAUAAGAUUUUAUGACAUAUGCAUUUGGAAUCAAAUUUUAGGGUUCAUAAAUACAGGUUUAUUGGAAGGCAGUUUUCAUGCACGUCCCUGUGAAGAGACCACCAAACAGGCUUUGUGUGAGCAAUAAAGCUUUUAAUCACCUGGGUGCAGGCAGGCUGAGUCUGAAAAGAGAGUCAGUGAAGGGAGAUAAGGGUGGGGCUGUUUUAUAGGAUUUGGGUAGGUAAAGGAAAAAGGGGGGUUGUUCUCUGGCAGGCAGGAGUGGGGGUCACAAGGUACUCAGUGGGGGAGCUUUUGAGCCAGGAUGAGCCAGCAGAAGGAAUUCACAAGACAGUGUCAUCAGUUAAGGCAGGAACAGGCAUUUUCACUUCUUUUGUGGUGGAAUGUCAUCAGUUAAGGCAGGAACCGGCCAUCUGGAUGUGUACCUGCAGGUCACAGGGGAUAUGAUGGCUUAGCUUGGGCUCAGAGGCCUGAAAUUCCUGUCUUCUUAUAUUAAUAAGAAAAAUAAAAUGAAAUAGUGGUAACGUGUUGGGACGGCAAAAAUUUUUGGGGAUGGUAUGGAGAGAUAAUGGGAGAUGUUUCUCAGGGCUGCUUCUAGCAGGAUUAGGGGCGGUGUGGGAACCUAGAGUGGGAGAGAUUAAGCUGAAGGAAGAUUUUGUGGUAAGGGGUGAUAUUGUGGGGUUGUUAGAAGAAACAUUUGUCAUUUAGAAUUAUUGGUGAUGGCCUGGAUAUGGUUUUGUAUGAAUUGAAAAACUAAACAGAAUAAGAGAAGGAGAAAAACAGGUAUUAAAGGACUAAGAAUUGGGAGAACCUAGGACAUCUAAUUAGAGAGUGCCUAAGGAGGUUCGGCAUAGCCUUGCCAGCAAAGAUUAUUUAUUUACUUUAAGAGUUAAGAGUGGGAGUUUGGGGAUAGCACCAGGAGAUAUCAGCUGUGAUGGCUUGGAGAAACAGUGUAAACCGGCAGUGUAAACAAGAGCAGGGCAUGUAUGAGUAGUUGAGAAUGGUGAAUAGGAGUAUGACUAGACAGAAGACAGUAGGGAUGACAAGUUUUGGGGGCACAGUCUAAGUUGGUCUGGUGUCUGGAAUGAGACUGGGGCCUAAUAAAAAGGAGCAUCUAUACGGGAGCUUAAAUGGGCUGUACUUUGUAGCAUUCCGAGGACAGGUCUGAAUUCUGAGAAGGGAAAGUGGUAAAAGUAUUGUCUAUUCCUUUUUAAGUUGGUGGCUGAGCUUGGUGAGGUGUGUUUUUAAAAGACCUUUAGUCUGUUCUACUUUUCCUGAAGACUGAGGACUGUAAGGGAUAUAAAGGUUUCACUGAAUACUAAGAGCCUGAAAAACUGCUUGGCUGAUUUGACUAAUAAAGGCUGGUCUGUUAUCAGACUGUAUAGAGGUGGGAAGGCUAAACUGAGGAAUUAUUUCUGACAGAAGGGAAGAAAUGACUGCGGUGGCCUUCUCAGACCCUGUAGGAAAGGCCUCUACCUAACUAGUGAAAGUGUCUACCCAGACUAAGAGGUAUUUUAGUUUUUGUGACUCGGGGCAUGUUGAGUAAAGCUAAUUUGCCAGUCCUGGGCGGGGGCAAAUCCUUGAGCUUGAUGUGUAGGGAAGGGGGGAGGGGGCCUGAAUAAUCCUUGAGGAGUAGUAGAAUAGCAGAUGGAAUACUAAAAAUUUAUUUCCCUGAGGAUAGAUUUCCGCGAUGGAAAAGAAAUGAGAGGUUUUAAGAGGCGGGCUAGUGGCUUGUACUGUAGCAUAGCCUGCCUUUGCUGGUGUGUGGCAAUUAGGCCUGGUGGAACUGCCAUCAAUAAACCAAGUGUGUUCAGGGUGAGAAACAGUGAAGAAGGAAAUGUGGGGAAGUGGGGUGAAUGUCAGGUGGAUCAGAGAGAUGCAGUCAUGAGGGUCAGGUGUGGUAUCAGGAAUAAUGUGGGAGGCCGGAUUGAAGUCCGAGCCAGGAACAAUGGUAACUGUGGGAGACUCAACAAAGAGUGAGUACAGCUGAAGGAGCCGGGGAGCAGAAAGUAUAUGCAUCAGGUGUGAGGAAGAAAAUAGAUUCUGGAAAUUAUGAGAGCUGUAGAGAGUGCAUUGAGCAUAGUUUGUGAUUUUAAGGGCCUCUAAAAUAUUAGGGUGGUAGCAGCCGCUGCAUGGAGACAUGAUGGCCAGCCUAAAACAGUAAGGUCAAGUUGUUUGGACAAAAAGGCUACAGGACGCGAUCCUCAUCCUUGUGUAAGAAUUCUUACUGCACAGCCCUGCACUUCAGCUGUGUGUAAUGAAAAGGGUUAGGAUGAGUCAGGGAGAGCUAUAGUGGGGGCAGUUUCUAAAGCUGUCUUCAAGGAAUGGAAAGAGGAGUGGGGGAAAGGAUUUAGUAUCUAUGGGGUCGGCUAGGUUUCCUUUUGUGAGUUUAUAUAAUGGUUUUGUUAGGAUGGCAAAACCAGGUAUCUAAAUGUGAAAGUAUCUAACCAUACCCAGGAAGGAAAGGAGUUGUUGUUUUGUAGAAUGGAUUGGGGUUUGAGAGACUAGUUGGACACGAUCGGCAGGGAGCGCACGUGUGUUUUUAUGAGAAUUAUGCUGAGAUAGCUAACAGAUGAGGAAGAAAUUUGGGCUUGACUGAAGUAAUGGGGGCUGUCUGUGAAGCUUUGUGGCAGUACAGCCCAGGUAAUUUGCUGAGCCUGAUGGGUGUCAGGGUCAAUCCAAGUGAAAGCGAAGAUAGGCUGUGAUGAAGGGUGCAAAGGAAUAGUAAAGAAAGCAUGUUUGAGAUCCAGAACAGAAUAAUGGAUUGUGGAGGGAGGUAUUAAGGAUUGAAAGGCCAUGCUGUAGCAGGCAAGUGAUAACAGGCUUUAAUCCUUUCAAAGCAUGCUGUGGGAUGGGAUAUUGGCAUUGAGUGGGGUAAGGGUGAUUAGGCUUUAAUGAGAUGGUAAGGGGUGCAUGAUCGGUCACCAAGGAGGGAGUAGAGGUAUCUUAUACUUGUGGGUUAAGGUUGGGGGAUACAAGAGGAGGAUGCAAAGGAGGCUUUGGAUUGGGAAGAAGGGCUUCAAUGAGAUGUAGCUGUAAUCCAGGAAUAGUUAGGGAAGCAGAUAAUUUAGUUAAGGUGUCUCGGCAUAAUAAGGGAACUGGGCAGGUGCGGAUAACUAAAAGGAGUGCUUAAAAGAGUAUUGUCUAAGUUGGCACCAGAGUUGGGGAGUUUUAAGAAGUUUAGAAGCCUGGCUGUCAAUACCCACAAACAGUUAUGGAGGCAAGGGAAACAGGCCCUUGAAAAGAAGGUAAUGUGGAGUGGGUAGCCUCCGUAUUGCUUAAGAAGGGGACGGACUUACCUUCCACUGUGAGAGUUACCUGAAGCUCGGCGUCUGUGAUGGUCUAGGGGGCUUCUGAGGUGAUCAGGCAGCGUCAGUCUUUAGCUGCUAAGCCGAGAAGGUCUGGGAAGGAGUCAGUCAGAGAGCCUUGGGCCAGAGUUCCAGCAUCUCUGGGAGUGGCUGCCAGGUGAGUUGAACAGUCCGAUUUCCAGUGGGGUCCCGCACAGAUGGGACACGGCUUAGGAGGAAUCCCGGGCUGCGGGCAGAUUUCUGGCACUUGUAGCAAGCUCCUGGGGGAGGUGGUUCUGGAGGAAUGCCUGGCCAGUGCGGUUUAGGCAUUUGGAAGUUCUUGUGUGCUGGAGAUGUGGCUGGGGUUUGUCUCACAGUGGAGGAAAGGAAUUGCAACUCAGAAAUAUGUUGCUACUUGGUGCCUCUAUUAUUGUACACCUUGAAGGUGAGGUUACUUUAGUCCUGUUGUGGGGUUUGAGGGCCGGAAUUUAAUUUUUGGAUUUUUAUUUAAUGUCAGGAGCAGAUUGGGUAAUAAAAUGUGUAUUGAGAAUAAGAUGGCCUUUUGACUUUUUAGGGUCUAGGGCUGUAAAGCGUCUCAGUGUUGCUGCCAAACAAGCCAUGAACUGGGCUGGAUUUUUAUAUUUGAUGAAAAAGAGCCUAAAUGCUAUCUGAUUUGGGAUAAAGAAAAAGGAGCAUUAACCUUGACUAUGCCUUUAGCUCCAGCCGCCUUUGUAAGAAUAAAUCGCUGGGCAGGUGGGGGAGGGCUAGUCACAGAACGAAACUGUAAGCCGGACCAGGUGUGAGGAGCAGAGGUGAUAAAAGGAUUAUAGGGUGGAGGAGCGGAGGCUGAGGAAGAAUUGGAACCUAGCUUGGCCUGGCGAGGAGCAGCCUGGGGAGGAGGGGAGAGGUCAGAUGGGUCUGUAGAAAAGGAAGAUUAGAAAGACUCAGUGACGCUUGGGGUUGGGACUGAGGGGCCAGGUGGGAGGGAAAGAAGGAAGAUUUGGGAUGAGUUGCAUUGGGAACAGAGACUAGAGAGGGACCGAUGUGUAAAAGAAUGCCUGGAUGUCAGGCACCUCAGACCAUUUGCCUAUUUGACAACAAGAAUUAUUUAGAUCUUGCAGGAUGGAAAAAUUGAAAGUGCCAUUUUCUGGCUAUUUGGAACCACUGUCAAGUUUGUAUUGGGGUCAAGCUGCAUUGCAGAAGAAAAUAAGGCAUUUAGGUUUUAGGUCAGGUGUGAGUUGAAGAGGUUUUAAGUUCUUGAGAGCACAGGCUAAGGGAGACGGAGGACUGGAGGGUGGAAGAUUGCCCAUAGUGAAGGAGGCAAGCCUAGAGAAAAGAGAAAGUAGAGACACGGAGGGAAGGGGUUCAGGGGUUUCUUACCUUCCAGAAAAGUGGGAAAGGGGUCAAGGCAUGGAAAUAAGGGGUUGGGGUGCAGAGAUAAGAGGUCAGGGUGCAGAAAUAAGGGAUUGGAGCGCAGAGAUAAGAGGUCGGGGCAUGGAAAUAAGGGAUUGGGGCACAGAGAUAAGAGGUCGGGGCAUGGAAAUAAGGGAUUGGGGGUUCUUUCCUCCAAGAAAAGCGGGACUUGCCACUAAGGGUGAAGGAGAAGGGGUUGGUGUACUUGCCCCUCCCCCAGAAAAGCGGGACUUGAUGCUAAGGGUGAAGGACCACGGCAGGCAUCCCCACGUGGUCUGACACCUCUGAAACCUGGUUGAAUAAUCAGAGAGGCAUCCCUGCAAUGAUUAAACACCAAGGGAAGGCUGCCUUCCCUAGUCCAUCACUGAUGCUGGAGUUUUGGGUCCACGGAUAAAACGUGUCUCCUUUGUCUCUUACCAGAAAAUGAAAGGAAUUGAAAUUAAGAGAAGGGGGAGAUUGAAGUGUGGCACCAAGAUUGAAAGGAGAAAGACGUUGAGGGAUAGUGAGGGAGGUUGGAGAAGAGAGUAAAAAGAGGCCGCUUACUGGAUUUGAAAUUGGUGAGAUGUUUCUUGGGCUGGUCGGUCGGAGGACCUGAGGUCGUAGGUGGACUUUUCUCACGGAGCAAAGAGCAGGAGGACAGGGGAUUGAUCUCCUAAUGCAGGUCGCCCAUCCGAGUCACGGCACCAAAUUUCAUGUGCAUCCGUGUGAAGAGACUGCCAAACGGGCUUUGUGUGAGCAAUAAAUCUUUUAAACACCUGGGUGCAGGCGGGCUGAGUCCGAAAAGAGAGUCAAUGAAGGGAGAUAGGGGUGGGGCCAUUUUAUAGGAUUUGGGUAGGUAAAGGAAAAAGGGGGGUUGUUCUCUGGUGGGCAGGAAUGGGGGUCACAAGGUACUCAGUGGGGGAGCUUUUGAGCCAGGAUGAGCCAGCAGAAGGAAUUCACAAGACAGUGUCAUCAGUUAAGGCAGGAACAGGCAUUUUCACUUCUUUUGUGGUGGAAUGUCAUCAGUUAAGGCAGGAACCGGCCAUCUGGAUGUGUACCUGCAGGUCACAGGGGAUAUGAUGGCUUAGCUUAGGCUCAGAGGCCUGACAGCAGUCAUGCUCUUCAUUCAUGUAUUGUCUAUGGCUGCUUUGCAUUACAACAGUAGAGAAGUUCAGUUGUUUUGAAAGAGAAUGCAUGUAUGUGGCACUCUUAUUGCUUCAUGCUAAUGCUUGGUACUCUAAAAAUUGUGUUAAUAUAGUUAAAACUCUGUAGCAUUCCAAAUUCCACGUCGCUAUAACACAACACUUAAUGUAUAUUUUAUUACUAGUACACAACCAUAAAUUUAAAACAAAAAGAAGAAAAAUGACUUUAAAUGUUGCAUAUUUAAGGCACAGUUGAGUAUGAAUUAUUUUGUACUGAAUUUGAUAGCAAAUUGCCCAACGAUGAUAUAUCUAUUCUUAAAAAAAUUAUAUUGACAUUAACAAACUAAGCAUUGUUCACAAUAUUUCCUACUCACAGAAAUGCAAUGUUUAGAAAAACUAGAAAAUUUAAAACAGCGUAUCUCAUCACAGUAGAAUUUCUUCACAAAAAUAACAAAUGAGACUGAGGCUACAACCAUAAUAAAAUUUCAAAUGUCCCAUUUUUUAGCCAAGCAAGAAAAGCCAUUUACCAAUGGUGAGUUAUUUAAAUCAUGUUAGAUUUGAGCAGCUGAAGAAAUGUGUUUAGAGAAAACAAACUUGUUUAAUAUGAUUAGCCUUUUAGCCAGAACAGUUACUUGAUGAGUUAAGGACACUGGG